UCCGGAGUGGCGCAAUGGCUCAGCGCAUUGGACUUUUAAUCCAAGGGUUCGGGGUUCGAGUCCCCGCUUCGGAG
rnacentral:tRNA from 1 species